rnacentral:rRNA from 1 species
ACGAAUUCGCCCUUUACGGGUUGUGAGAGCAAGAGCCCGGAGAUGGAUUCUGAGACACGAAUCCAGGCCCUACGGGGUGCAGCAGGCGCGAAAACUUUACAAUGCCGGCAACGGCGAUAAGGGGACCUCGAGUGCCAGGUUACAAAUCUGGCUGUCGUGAUGCCUAAAAAGCAUUGCAUAGCAAGGGCCGGGCAAGACCGGUGCCAGCCGCCGCGGUAACACCGGCGGCUCGAGUGGUAACCGUUAUUAUUGGGUCUAAAGGGUCUGUAGCCGGCCGGAUAAGUCUCUUGAGAAAUCCAGCAGCUCAACUGUUGGGCUUUCAGGAGAUACUGUUCGGCUCGAGGCCGGGAGAGGUGAGAGGUACUUCAGGGGUAGGGGUGAAAUCUUGUAAUCCUUGAAGGACCACCAGUGGCGAAGGCGUCUCACCAGAACGGACCUGACGGCAAGGGACGAAAGCUAGGGGCACGAACCGGAUUAGAUACCCGGGUAGUCCUAGCCGUAAACGAUACUCGCUAGGUGUCGGCCACGGUGCGACCGUUGUCGGUGCCGUAGGGAAGCCGUGAAGCGAGCCACCUGGGAAGUACGGCCGCAAGGCUGAAACUUAAAGGAAUUGGCGGGGGAG